AUUGGACGCUGGCGGAAUGCUUUACACAUGCAAGUCGAACGGCAGCACGGGGCAACCUGGUGGCGAGUGGCGAACGGGUGAGUAAUAUAUCGGAACGUGCCCAAUCGUGGGGGAUAACGUAGCGAAAGUUACGCUAAUACCGCAUACGAUCUACGGAUGAAAGCGGGGGAUCGCAAGACCUCGCGCGAAUGGAGCGGCCGAUAUCAGAUUAGGUAGUUGGUGGGGUAAAGGCUCACCAAGCCAACGAUCUGUAGCUGGUCUGAGAGGACGACCAGCCACACUGGAACUGAGACACGGUCCAGACUCCUACGGGAGGCAGCAGUGGGAAUUUUGGACAAUGGGACGCAAGCCUGAUCCAGCCAUUCCGCGUGCAGGAUGAAGGCC
rnacentral:rRNA from 1 species